rnacentral:rRNA from 1 species
UACGGAGGAUGCGAGCGUUAUCCGGAAUCACUGGGCGUAAAGGGCGCGUAGGCGGUCUGUUAAGUCUGGCGUUAAAGCCUGGGGCUCAACCCCAGAUCAGCGUUGGAUACUGGCAGGCUAGACGGUUGGAGAGGCGAGUGGAAUUACCAGUGUAGCGGUGGAAUGCGUAGAUACUGGUAGGAACACCCAUUGCGAAGGCAGCUCGCUGGACAACACGUGACGCUGAGGCGCGAAAGUGUGGGGAGCAAACCGGAUUAGAUA